AUUAGGCUUUUUCACCAAAUACAAAUUUCCCAAUGUGCUGGGCGCGAUUGACUGUACCCACGUGCAGAUCAGACCGCCACGGAAUUCAGAAGAAUGUUUUCGGAACCGAAAACAUUUCCAUUCCCUGAAUGUACAGGUGGUCUGUGAUGUCAACAUGAGAUUUUUGAACAUUUUUGUGGGAUUUCCUGGAUCGUCUCACGACUCCUUCAUCCUAAGCCAGUCAUCGCUGUUUGACAAGUUCGAAACAGGAAACAUGCCUGGUGGCUGGCUGUUAGGUGAUGCGGGUUAUCCAAACAAAUCGUGGCUCUUGACCCCAUUGUCUAAUCCUGUUGGUAGAGCAGAAAAACGUUACCAAGAGACACACAUUGCAUCGAGGCAAAUAAUUGAACGUGCCUUCGGUGUACUUAAAAGCCGGUUUCGAUGUUUAGACACUUCCGGCGGUGCUCUUUUGUACUCACCGGCGAAGGUUUGCGGCAUGGUAAAUGCAUGUUGUAUUUUACACAACAUAUGUGUCGCAAACCGUUUGCCGGUGACUCUUCGUCGCAGUGCUUUCCGACGCGGGAACCGUUCUUCUGCUGUACCGGUGGGUAUGGAUGAAGGAGAUGAUUCCCGGCGGACAGUGAUACAAAACUUUUUUUCGGUUGCCUAGUUUUACGUCCUGUUGAUGUGCAUUCUCAGGUCUGUUUUGUCCUGUUGACGAAUCGUUACCCCCUGUUUUCUCCUGUUGUUGGUUUGCUGCAAAUUUUGGACCAUUUUAUCCAACUCUACCAUGGGCGACCUACUUGUGAUGUGGACCUGACCCUCCGCCAUGUAGCAGACAACCCCCCUCAGGUCUUGCGGUGUUUCCUUCCCAAGUGGCGUGGAUGUGAAGAGACACACAGUUCCCCUGAUGUUCCAUGGGCGACCAACUUGUGAUGUGGACCUGACCCUCCGCCAUGUAGCAGACAACC